rnacentral:rRNA from 1 species
UACGUAGGUGGCGAGCGUUGUCCGGAUUUACUGGGCGUAAAGAGCGUGCAGGCGGUCGUUCAAGUCGAGUGUGAAAGCCCCCGGCUCAACUGGGGAGGGUCACUCGAUACUGAUCGACUUGAAGGCAGGAGAGGGAAGCGGAAUUCCCGGUGUAGUGGUGAAAUGCGUGGAUAUCGGGAGGAACACCAGUGGCGAAAGCGGCUACCUGGCCCAUUCUUGACGCUGAGGCGCGAAAGCGUGGGGAGCAAACAGG